rnacentral:rRNA from 1 species
UACGUAGGUGGCAAGCGUUGUCCGGAUUUAUUGGGUUUAAAGGGUGCGUAGGCGGUCUUAUAAGUCAGUGGUGAAAUACGGCAGCUCGACUGUCGAGGUGCCAUUGAUACUGUAGGACUUGAGUACAGACGAGGUAGGCGGAAUUGACGGUGUAGCGGUGAAAUGCUUAGAUAUCGUCAAGAACACCGAUAGCGAAGGCAGCUUACUAGGCUGUAACUGACGAUCAGGCACGAAAGCGUGGGGAUCAAACAGG